GGCUUGCGAGUGUGCCGGAUUCGCACGCAACCUUGCGAAGGUUGUAGGCCAGGUUCGAUUCCUGGGUGAGCCGC
rnacentral:tRNA from 1 species